AGGGAAGGAAGGUAGAGUUGCUGGGACCCCGAAACGCCCAAAGGUCUCUCUGGGCGCGUCUACACUGCGGAAUUGAUGCAGUUCUGUACCACUUGAGCUGCCCUGGAUCAAGUCUAUGGAAUCCUGGGAAGCUGGACUUCGGUGGGAGAGGUAUUUUGGGUGCAUCUACACUGUAGAAGGAAUGCAGAUUGGCACCACUUCGGCUGCUAUGGGAGUUGUAGUUCUGCAAGGUUUUCCAAGGUCUGUAGCCCAUGUGCAUUGCACCACUUCCGCUGCUAUGGGAGUUGUAGUUCUGCAAGGUUUUCCAAGGUCUGUAGCCCAUGUUCAUUGCACCACUUCAGCUGCUAUGGGAGUUGUAGUUCUGCAAUGUUUUCCAAGGUCUGUAGCCCAUGUGCAUUGCACCACUUCCGCUGCUAUGGGAGUUGUAGUUUUCCAAGGUUUUCAAAGGUCUGUAGCCUUUUCUGUCCAAGCGAGUCGCACCACUUCAGCUGCCAUGGGAGUUGUAGUUUUCCAAGGUUUUCCAAGGUCUGUAGCCUUUUCUGCCCAUGUGGGUUGCACCAUUACAGCUGCCAUGAGAAUUGUAGUUUUCUGAGGUUUUCAAAGGUCUGUAGCCUUUUCUGCCCAAGUGGAUUGCACCACUUCAGCUGCCACGGGAGUUGUAGUUUUCCAAGGUUUUCAAAGUUCUGUAGCCUUUUCUGUCCAAGUGGGUUGCAUUGGUUCAGCCGCCAUAGGAGUUGUAGUUUUCCAAGGUUUUCCAAGGUCUGUAGCCUUUCUGCCCAAGUGGGUCGCACCACUUCAGCUGCUAAGGGAGUUGUAGUUUUCUAAAGUUUCCAAAGGUCUACCCAAGUGGGUCGCACCACUUCGGCUGCUAUGGGAGUUGUAGUUUUCCAAGGUUUUCCAAGGUCCGUAGCCUUAUCUGAUGCCUCGCCAAACUACAACUCCCACGGUCCCAUAGCAUGGAGCCGUGGCUGUUCAAGUGGUGCCAAACUGCAUUAAUUCUACAGUAUAGACGCAUCCCAUAAUGAUCCAAUUUCCUUUCCACCAAAAGUUUAUUUGGGGGGUGGGGGACGGAAGUGAUGAAGACGAUGGGAUAUGCAAUCCCUCUUUCCUUAAGGCAUGUUCAUGAAGACCUCAAAACCUUCACGACGGGAUUUUGUUUUGGGGGGAGGAGAGUGGGAGGGUGGCAUGGUGUGCGUUGCGAUUCUUUAUUUUUUAGCCCACACUGGAGCCCACUAUCGUAGCCAAUGGAUUUGCACCUCUUCGGUAGCCCAGCUUUCGCCCAACCGGGGCCGUGCUCAAGGUUUCGAGGGUUGCAGCCCGCGAUAUAUUCGGAACGUGGCGCCCGCUUGGCCAAAGCUGCACUAGUUUUGUCUCUAGAUGCCACACAGUUGUUGUAUCCACACACAAAGAAAAAGUCCCCGAACAAUGGGGGGAUUUUGUGGGGUUGGGUGGGAGGGGGGGAGGAGGAUAUGGAACAGAGUUAUUUUGUGGGGGGCAAACCGGGGAAGAAGGGGCCUGGGUCUAUUUAUUGAUUCAAAAUAAAAAAUAAUGUUAACCAUGGAA